rnacentral:rRNA from 1 species
UACGUAGGGUGCAAGCGUUAAUCGGAAUUAUUGGGCGUAAAGGGCUCGUAGGCGGUUUGUCGCGUCGGGAGUGAAAACAUCUGGCUUAACUGGGUGCUUGCUUUCGAUACGGGCAGACUGGAGGUAUGCAGGGGAGAACGGAAUUCCUGGUGUAGCGGUGAAAUGCGCAGAUAUCAGGAGGAACACCGGUGGCGAAGGCGGCUUGCUGGGCCUUACCUGACGCUGAGGAGCGAAAGCGUGGGGAGCGAACAGG